rfam:Anopheles farauti strain FAR1 unplaced genomic scaffold supercont2.22, whole genome shotgun sequence.
CCAACAGUCCUUUUCAGGACUACCAAAUGAAUUGUAAAAGAAUUAA